rnacentral:lncRNA from 1 species
AAAGGGAGGGUGGUUUACACGGUGGAAAUGCAAGGACGGACUGAAGUCAGCGGACAAGGACGGCAAUGGAUUCAUCGAGGAUGACGAGAUGAGCUACCUCAAAGAUUUUGCUCUCAAGCAUCUCGGUAUCAAAAUUGUAAUAGUUUAAGCCGAUCGACUAGGUCUUCGAUCUUGUGCAUGUUUUCCGUGGAACAGUUUAGUUAAGGGUUUCUUUUUUUAUCGCUACACCCUUGACGUAUCCUAGCCUAGGUGAGUUUGGCUAAGUCAUGUAUUUGGCUGCUGUGAACCACGUCGUGCUUGUACUAUCAAGUCCUUGUGUGGCUUGCAAAUGUAAAAAUUAUCCCAGUUGAAGUUGCUAAUUUGGCUAGAUUUCUCCUUCUAAUUAUUGAAGGUAAAAGAUAUUCAAAGUGACCGAGGGAUUUAUUGUGAUACCCAAAAGAUUCCCAUAUUAGGAAAAAAAAAAUUGAUAUGUAAGUCCAAACUCAUUAUAUGUUAUUUACGUUCAAAUGUUAUUGGGCCAACCCUCGAAUUUGGAUCGUUAUAAUAUCUAAUUACAAUACUUAUAUUGCAUGGAUUGCUUUUCAAAAAGUACGUAAAUAAAUUUGUAUGUAAAUAAUAUGAAUAUAUAUAUUAAAUAUAUAUGUGGGAAAAUAUGAUAUUAAUGUUACACAAAUUUUAUUUUUUUUUUCAAAAAAUUGAAGUGUAUUUUUGGGAAGCAAAAUACUCCAAAAGCUUACUAGAUGUUUGAUAAGAUUAUGUGAAAAAUAUGAGUGCUUUAUACAAGUAUUUCUGAAAGAGUUCACUUAUAGGAAAAAACGAGUUAAAUAAUACAAAAUGACUAAGUGAUAGAUACGAAAAUGAAAACUUCUAAAAAUCAAGAGGUGAGUUAUCUUUUAGUUUUUUUAAUUGUAUAUUGUUUAAAAUAGGAUUUUCCUUUCUAGAGUUUAUAUCUGUCAUAUAUUGCUUAUAUUACGAUACGAAAGUUUACAAAUAUUUACAAACCAGCUAGACUUGGGUCAACUAAAGAGAUUACUUUAAAAGGGAAGUGAUAUUUGCACUCGCCAAUUAGUUUUUAGCACUUUUUGGAAGUUAUAUUUUUAGUGAGUGAAUUUGAGUGCAAAUAUAUUUAAUUACGUUUUUCACUGACCUAUUGAAAUUGGGUAAUUAGCUCAAAACCGAUACCAAAGAGUGGUGAACCAAGCUCUUUAUUAAUCUGUUUGAAAAAUAUGUAAAAGCUGAGACCUUAAUUUGUCCUUAAAAUUUGUAAGUGCCUAUCUUUCGAAAACUGAUAGGAGUAGUGGUUACUACAAACUACAAUUCCGAUAUCGUUACGUCUAAUAGAACUUCUAAAAAUGCGGAACCAACUUAUAUAUAAAUAAAUAUAUAUAUAUAUAUAUUCUGAAAUGCAAUAAUUUUAUCACUAUUUCUUUCUCGAGCAGUUUCCUAAAAAAAUAUUGCUAUAGGCAAUAAAAUUUUUCGUACGUGUCAUAUAUAUAAAGCUUAGUUUACUCUCAAAAUUACUCAAUCCUCAUUAAAAAUAGCGAAGGACUAAAUUCACAUUCUUUAAUGUAUUGAUAACUGUAUUGUGGUAUGAUAACCGCCCCAGUUGUGUAAUUAUAAUGGGAUGGUAUCGAUUUAACAUUUCUCUUAAAACUAUUUACUGGUAACUUGCACCUAAUAAUCAUUGAUAGGAUUGCCCAUAUCAUUACAAUUUGGAAUGUUUCGCAAAAGCCAUAGCGACUCAAAGAGUGAACUGAUAAAGAAACAGAAAAGAUAUCUUGCACAUUCUUUAGUUUUGCAACUUUAACUCUUUGAGGUAUGUACCCUAAAAUAAAAUAAGUGAGAGGUCGCGAGGAGGGUUUGAUCGGAUGAUACAGAAAGAGAUAAUGUAAGUGAAAAGUUUAACUCGAAACCUUUCAUUUAUAUUCUAAAAAAAGUACCAUAUAUAAAGUAACAUAAAGUAAGAUUGGGGUGGCAAAGCAUAAGUGAUUUAUAUGAUUCAAUAUAGUAGAUAUCCUCUUGCGAUUCAUAUUCGUCCAUAUCAAACACAACACAUUGAGUUGGGAUAAAACCAAAGAAUAAAUGCUUAAACUGAUCCUCCUCGUGAAUCAACCGGAAGAAAGCCGUCUUUGGCAUUUUUGUCCCAGUUCUAUAGGUCGUCAACCAAUAACUAACUCACUAAAAUCUGAGCCAACCGUCUGUAUCAAUAAUUGGAUUUACUCUUGUAAGUCAAGCUUUUAGACCACUGUAGAUAGAUUCUUAUUCCGUGAAAGGGUCGCGGUAUACUUUACCUUCUUUUGAAUCAUGAUGCAAGUGAUAUUUUAAAGUAUUACCAACGCAACUAUACAAGCUUUAAGUCGAGUAGUUCUAUAAAUAUAGGAGUAUUUCAGUCACUUUUGCCUACCCCAGUGUAGAGUUAGCAGAUAAUUUGAGAUAGAAUAUUAAUGGCAAUCAUAGACCAAGACAAACCUCGCGAUUUCAAAGGCAAACAUCAAAUCAUGACUUCAGAAGAGUUCAAGAAAUGGCUUAAAAAAUUUGAUAGUAAUAAAGAUGGCCGGAUUAGCAAAGAAGAGCUCAGGGAAGCUAUGCGUGCAAAGGGAGUGUGGUUUACAAGGUGGAAAUAUAAGAGUGGAAUGAAGGCAGCAGACAAGAACCGGAAUGGAUUCAUCGAGGAUGACGAGAUGAUCUACCUCAAAGAUUUUGCUCUCAAGCAUCUUGGUAUCAAAAUUGUAACGUCUUAAGCCGAUAAAUCUUCGUCUUGUGCAUGUUUUCGAAUCGAAUAGUUUAGUAAAAGGAUCCUUUUUAUCGCUACCUUUGAAGUAUCCUAGGUAUGUUUUGCUAAGCCCAGUGGGUUGCAUGUAUUUGGCUACUGUGAACUAGUCGUACUUGUGAUUACAAAUUCCUGUAUGGUUUUGCAACUAAUGAUGGAGAUAUUAGUUUGCUAAUGUAUAAAUUAUCAUGGGUCCAAGUUGCUAAUUUGGCUAGAUUUCUCCUCCUAAUUAUUAUUGAAGGCAAAAGGAAUUUUAAAA